rnacentral:lncRNA from 1 species
UCUAAUACCCAAUUUCUUCACUUUGAACACUGCAUUUCUCACUCUUCAAAUUUCAAAAAUUCAUCACCUCAAGUUCAAAAUUCUCUUUCUUCAAUAAAAUUCAACUCCGGUAAUAUUAAAUUGUUCUUUCUCUCAUCAUUCUCAUAACCUAACUAACUUAAAAAGGUAUGUUCACUUGCGUAAUUUCUUUGAGUUAUUCUGCAAGUUUCAAUGGUGAUUCAUAUUCCACGGUACUUUGUGGUUAUAUUUAGGAUCAUUUGAGUUUAUUUUGGUGAAAUAUGGUUGUUUCAAUGGAGAAUGUGAAAUUGGUGCCAUUCUUUUGUAUUAUUAAUAGGAAAUUCUUGAAUACCUAAACCUAUGCACACCAUGUGUUUGAUAAAACUCCCACAUGAGGUUUCCUUGCAAUUACUUGUAGUGGUGAUCAAAUUAUGAUAGUUGGAGUAUCUUGGAUGUGUUUGGUGGUAAAUUGAUAAACUUGGCUUACUUACAUGUGCCUUUACCUUAUUUUCCAAGAUUAUAUUUUCAUGAUCACCAUGUGUUUGCUUAAAUGCCAGUGAGAGGGUGUUGACUUGAAUGGUAUUAAUUGUUAGUGAAUUCAUUCUUGGGGAAUCACUUACCCAUUCUUUGAGCAUGGAUAUACUUGAAUCUUGAUGAUAGCAACUCGGUAGUUUUUAAUUUAGGAUGUUUGUUGCUUAUUGUAAUGCACUAUGGAUUUUGGUUGAUAGAAUGGCUUGAUAUAGAAUCCACGAGUGAAAAAACCCCGGUGACAAGAAUGCUUGUUUUGCCCUAUGAUAGAUUGGGUGACAUCAUUCUUAAGGGUAUAGGGUCAUUUUUGUUCAAAUAAGCGCCAUGAGUGUUCCAUGUACUAAAUUGGAAAAAUGUGAAGAAUGUAUAGAAAUGUAGUGUUUCAAAUGGUUGAAAUUUUCUAUAAAAUAUUACCAUGAGAUCCAAAUAUUGUUUUUCUUUGCCUUCACCUUAUUUUUUUUUUUAAUUUUUAUAUUCUUUCAUACUGUAUAAAAAAUCCAAAAACAUGUUUUACCCUUGUCUUUUGUUUGUGUUUGGUUAUUUUUCUUUUUUUAGGAAUGUCUCCAAGAAAGAACUUUCCAAGGGUUGUAAAGAAAGGUACCGCAUCAGAUAAAGAAAAAUCAGAAGCUACAACCUCAAAUUAAAAGGAAUAGAAUCAGCCACUAAAGAAGUCCAAAAUGGUUCCAAGCUACAAAGAAUCAUUUAGCGUACACAGGGUUAGGCAAAGAUAUUGAAGUUCGGGAAUUUUAUGCCUCUUAUGUUUUCCUCAACAAAGAACAUUAAUACAAGACCCCCAAUAGUGAACAACUAUGCCUUCCUAGUAUCCCAGUUCGGGGAGUUGAAGUUCCAUGCACCACCUUAAAAAUAAAUGAAAUUUAUUUUGCUUGUCAUCAAGAUUCAACAGUUAAAUACAAGAAGAAGGUUCUUAGUAGGCGUGAGUGUUAUCCUUAGCUAGCCUGAGUGAUUUCAAAAUGUCUCCCUCCAUGGGUAAAAGGCAUUGGACAAAUUAAGAGGAUGGAACUUUCAAUCUAGGCUAAACAUUGGCUUGGAUUUGUUAGUAACCUCCUACUUCCUUCACAUAAUCAUCAAGAUGUCACUAUAGAAUGGACUAUCAUUUUUGGUUGCAUCAUGAAUGAUAUUAUAGUUAAUUUAGGGGAGUUGAUUGCGAAAAUAAUCAAGUUAAGGUCAAAGCAACUAGGUACUUUAUUGCUCUUUCCUUCUCUUAUCUCAUUGUGUUGUAUUAAGUAUAAGCUUUUUUCUUCACCAAGAUCAAUCGGAGGGUUAUUUUCACUAGUGUGAUUGAUAUUACAUAUUGCCAAGAUGAUGAUAAUCCCACCAGGAUUAAGAGAAAAGCUUCGGUAUCAGUGGAUUCUUUUGUGGGGGAGUUACCUAGUUUAGAGGGUAUGGAUGCCGCUCUGGUUUAUUUACUUAUUUCAGUUGAUCCUUCGAUUUCUACUGAAGAUCCUCCAUCUUCAAGAACCACAUCACCUUCUCAGCCUACCCAACGACCUUAGUCUUACACAAUACAUUUGCCAAAAUCACUUUUUAAUCUUUGGCAAACAACAGUACUAUUACCCAAUCAGUAGCUGACAUCCCUCAAUUCAGUUAAAUUGCAAUUGAGUGAAGCUUAACAUUGAUACAUGUUCGAAUGGUAGAGUAUGAGUGGAGAUUAGCCAUAGUAGAGAAUAGAGGGGAUUGUAAGGAGGUAGAUUUUUUGAGGGCCGAUCGUGAUGGCCUACGUGCGGGGUUUCACUACAUACAACCCUCAUUUGUUCUUGACCAGGAGGAAAUUUCUAUUUCACUAGAUUCUAUGUGUACAGUACUUCCUUUUGCUGAUUUUCUUGGACAUGCAUAUAUAGGUAAUGAGGUUGGGAUUGACUUUUGUGAGGGGCUUACUAAAUCCUAACAGGUUAAGCUUGCAAAGUAGUUAUCCUGAGAUGAUGAUCAUGCGAGGAUGGUUGGGUCUAGUUCUAGCUCCCGACCUACUGAUGAGGUGCUUUUUUAUUUUUUCCCUAGUGAUAGGAGCCUACUUUGAUGAGGCUCCUAGUGUUCCUAUACAACCAUCUAUAGAUAUGUACUUGAGCGCGUAGUGUACCACAGGAAGUCUUUAACCUCCUUUUCUCUCUUUUUACUUUUUCAUUGGGGAUAAUGAAUAACAUUUAUUGGGGGUGGGUCAUUCUUAUAUCAUAUUUGAUGGUAUGUACUUUGAUUUGAUGGAUUGUGUAUUUUACAUUUGAUGUUGAUUUGCAUUUGGCCCUAGCCAGGCAUAUUUAUUUAUUAUGACAUUGAUGUGGAUUUGGCUUGACGGGAAUAUUUAUGAUUAUGUUGGAUAUGGCCCUUAUUGGGCUUGUUACAUGCACUUGUUAUGAGGUGAUACUCGAUUGUGCUUUUCUUGGUGUUGAUUUUGUAUUUUGGGUGAUGCCUAUAAGAACUUUUCUCAUUUUUCUUUUUGCCUUUUAUAUAUACAUGUCCAAUAAACUCCAAGGAUUUUCUUCAAAACUCAAUUCUUUCCUAAUGAUAAAGAUUUUGUUUUCUUUUUUCUUUUAUAUAUAAUCUUUGCUUUAGGUCAUUUUCAUUAUCGAACUAACUGGUAUUUCACAUAUAAUAGAUGAUGAGGCGACAUUCUUAGGUGAAGUACCUAAUAUUUUGAGUCUAGUCUAAAUUAGGAGUCAGAAAAAGUUCAAAAAAUUCUUUCAAACUUCAUUGGCAAGCAAUUUAAUGAUUUUGAGAAAAAUCAAAAAAAUAGUUUUCUUUUUGAAAAAAAACAAGGAGGUUGAUGAGCUUUCUCUUGAGUUUAGUCCGUUAAAUUCAAUUUUUGGCUCUCUUUAUAAGGAUGUGUCCUUGACUCAAAGUAACUUAUUAAGUUCAAUUGAUUAAAUUGGUUGGGAGACUAGCUUUCUUAUCUAUGAGUAUGAUGCCUUGUGUGGUGAGGAGUUUGAAUAAUUCCGUACAUGCAUGUAGUCUAUAACUUGCUCCGAGUGUGUUUAAAGAAAUGUCCUAGGUAAGCUUGGUUUGCAGGAUGACCCGAGGCCAUUUUUGAUCCGUCACAUGACCAAAAUCCUACCUUAACAUUGUUUGGUAGUUAACCAUUUUGAGCCUUUGCCAAAUUUUCUUUCUUCUUGAGUGAUAAACAUACUAUGAAACCUAGUCCUUUUUAAAAAUCUCUCUUUUGGAACAUAACCUCCUUGAAUGCAUCAUAUGAUUCCAAAGUAGUAAAAUAUAGGUGAAAGCCUAAGUCUGGGGGUUCUUAAUUGUGAGAUUGAUUUAAGGGUGAUUCAAACUCUUAGUUUUAGGGAAAUUGUGAUAUGCUAGAAUGAAUCACAAAAGGCGUAUGCUUGGUUGUCUAAUCAUGUGCUUAUGAGACAAAGUUGUGCUUGAAAAUAAGGUCGAAUAGCCUAGACCAUAGAACUUGAAGCAAAGUUAGACAAAUGAUGGGACAUAGAUAGCUAAAGGUUAGAACAUCUCUUAAAAGAAUCAAAGAAAUGAAAAAAAAAAUGGUGUGUUCAAUUUGUUUAGUAAGUAUGAAGCUAGAGGUUAAGGGAAACAAGAAAAAAAACUAUAGGUGAAUAAGGUGGAAAGUUGAAAAAUUGAUGAUAGAAGGUGAUAAACAAUUAUGUUUAAGGAGGUAUUUUAGUCACUUGAUCCAUACAUGCUUUCCCGCACCUUAACUUUCAUCUAUACCCACAAGACCUUGGUGAUUUCAAACUUGGUGAGUCUAUAUUAGUGGAGAACAACACAAGAGAAAACCUAUGAUUCUAUUCGUUGUACUUGAAUUUCUUUACAUGAGUGAGUGUAAAUUUUUUUUAAUUUUUAUGCUCCUUUGAGAAUUAAAAUUUAUUGUGUUCAUGGAGUUAACUCUUGAAUAUGAGUUGAAUUAAUACUUUGGGAUGGAUGGUGAUGUCUUACUCCUAAUAUGGGUAAACGAGCAAGAUAAAUUGCAUAGUAAAAAUUGAGACAAUCUUUGAAGAUUUUGUGUCACCUUGAGAAGAAUUUUUUUAUUUGAAAGUUUUAUUUUGAUACUAUCUUGCAUCCCUGCCUCAUAAAAAUAUGCAUAUUGAAAAAAUUUGGUUUACUUAUUGUCAUGACAUGUUUGAGGGAUUUUUUGGUGCUUUCUUAGUCCAGAUAUCUAGUAUAACUUUCUUUUGGCUGAUUUUGGAGUCAUGAAUGUCCUGCUUUUUUGUGAAUAUUCUUGAUUGCUUAAGGACAAGAAAUCGUUUAAGUUGGGGGGGGGGGUCAUAAGUCGCCAAUUUGACAGUUUGUUAGCACUUUUUAGGCUUGAAUUAUAAUAUUUUUUCAUUGAUUUCAGGUUAUUAUCAUGUUAUAAUGCUUGUUUGUGCAGGUAAAGAUUAAAAAUGAAGUUGAGCAAGUCAUACAAGCCAAUUGGAGGUCAAAAAUGAAAGAAAAAGAUCUUAAAAGUUAACUUUGACAUAUUGAGAGCCACCUACGCACGCACAUGAUGGACCUGCACAUGCAAGUAGGUAAUCUUGAAGAACUAGUGUCACCUGUGUCACCUGCAUGAGUGAAUGCGCACGCAAGUCAGCCACAUGCACUGGCACCUACUCCAGCAGGUCACCUGGUGGCAUUUUUGUAAUUUCUAUGGAACGUGAAUUUGGGUCUAAAUAAGGGCUUUUCAACUCAAAACCUCAAUUUUUGUACUUUCUAAAGCUUUAAACAUUAGAGUAAAACUAAAAGUGAGAAAUUAGCGAUUUUAAGUUCUACUGAAUUCGGAGCUUGAAUAUUAUAUUAAAUUGUAAUUCAAUG